UAAAUGCAAGUCGAACGGCAGCACGGAGCUUGCUCUGGUGGCGAGUGGCGAACGGGUGAGUAAUAUAUCGGAACGUACCCUAGAGUGGGGGAUAACGUAGCGAAAGUUACGCUAAUACCGCAUACGAUCUAAGGAUGAAAGUGGGGGAUCGCAAGACCUCAUGCUCGUGGAGCGGCCGAUAUCUGAUUAGCUAGUUGGUAGGGUAAAAGCCUACCAAGGCAUCGAUCAGUAGCUGGUCUGAGAGGACGACCAGCCACACUGGAACUGAGACACGGUCCAGACUCCUACGGGAGGCAGCAGUGGGGAAUUUUGGACAAUGGGCGAAAGCCUGAUCCAGCAAUGCCGCGUGAGUGAAGAAGGCCUUCGGGUUGUAAAGCUCUUUUGUCAGGGAAGAAACGGUGAGAGCUAAUAUCUUUUGCUAAUGACGGUACCUGAAGAAUAAGCACCGGCUAACUACGUGCCAGCAGCCGCGGUAAUACGUAGGGUGCAAGCGUUAAUCGGAAUUACUGGGCGUAAAGCGUGCGCAGGCGGUUUUGUAAGUCUGAUGUGAAAUCCCCGGGCUCAACCUGGGAAUUGCAUUGGAGACUGCAAGGCUAGAAUCUGGCAGAGGGGGGUAGAAUUCCACGUGUAGCAGUGAAAUGCGUAGAUAUGUGGAGGAACACCGAUGGCGAAGGCAGCCCCCUGGGUCAAGAUUGACGCUCAUGCACGAAAGCGUGGGGAGCAAACAGGAUUAGAUACCCUGGUAGUCCACGCCCUAAACGAUGUCUACUAGUUGUCGGGUCUUAAUUGACUUGGUAACGCAGCUAACGCGUGAAGUAGACCGCCUGGGGAGUACGGUCGCAAGAUUAAAACUCAAAGGAAUUGACGGGGACCCGCACAAGCGGUGGAUGAUGUGGAUUAAUUCGAUGCAACGCGAAAAACCUUACCUACCCUUGACAUGGCUGGAAUCCUUGAAAGAUCAGGGAGUGCUCGAAAAAAACCAGUACACAGGUGCUGCAUGGCUGUCGUCAGCUCGGGCC
rnacentral:rRNA from 1 species